UACAGAGGGGGCAAGCGUUGUUCGGAAUUACUGGGCGUAAAGGGCGCGUAGGCGGCCUUCUAAGUCAGACGUGAAAUCCCCGGGCUCAACCCGGGAACUGCGUCUGAUACUGGAGGGCUUGAAUCCGGGAGAGGGAUGUGGAAUUCCAGGUGUAGCGGUGAAAUACGUAGAUAUCUGGAGGAACACCGGUGGCGAAGGCGGCGAUCUGGCCCAACAUUGACACUGAGACCCGAAAGCGUGGGGAUCAAACAGG
rnacentral:rRNA from 1 species